UUGGCCGUUUUUCAUUGGGGGGUACAACAACAUUUUCGUAAGCAUAAGCAUAAUUACUACAUGCGGUACACAAAUAUACGGCUCGGUCCGACAAAAACCCUUUAUCACUACGAUUUCAUCAAGAUCUUUUGCAAUUUUCCUAACGGAACGUUUAUGAAGUAUAAAAGCUGUUUCCUUUGAAAAUUCCUCAUGUUUGUUGCAACUGCAUUGUGUUUUUUUUUUUUAUGUUAGCACAAUUUUUUUUAAAAAAAUAACUAAAAUGAUAAAUUCAAAUGAACUUUCAU
rnacentral:lncRNA from 1 species